rnacentral:tRNA from 1 species
GCGGAUAUGGUUCAAUGGUAGAACACGAGCUUCCCAAGCUUGCGACGCGGGUUCGAUUCCCGUUAUCCGCU